GACGAACCGUGCGAACGUUGUUCGGAAUCACUGGGCUUAAAGGGCGCGUAGGCGGGCGGUCAAGUCAGAGGUGAAAUCCCACGGCUCAACCGUGGAAGUGCCCCUGAUACUGAUCGUCUCGAGGGAGGUAGGGGCGUGCGGAACUUCCGGUGGAGCGGUGAAAUGCGUAGAUAUCGGAAGGAACACCGAUGGCGAAGGCAAUCCCCUGGACCUGUACUGACGCUCAUGCACGAAAGCGUGGGGAGCAAACAGG
rnacentral:rRNA from 1 species